UACAGAGGGUGCUAGCGUUAAUCGGAAUUACUGGGCGUAAAGCGUGCGCAGGCGGUGAUGUAAGACAGGUGUGAAAUCCCCGGGCUUAACCUGGGAACUGCAUUUGUGACUGCAUCGCUGGAGUGCGGCAGAGGGGGAUGGAAUUCCGCGUGUAGCAGUGAAAUGCGUAGAUAUGCGGAGGAACACCGAUGGCGGAAGGCAAUCCCCUGGGCCUGCACUGACGCUCAUGCACGAAAGCGUGGGGAGCAAACAGG
rnacentral:rRNA from 1 species